GUCCUCCACAAAGGGUUCUUUAUUCGAAGGCGCCAAGGCGUUUUUUUUGCAAUCUCGACAAUUUCACUGUUCCCUACCCAAUCCCACGCAUAAAUUCUUUCAUUUCUGCUUCAUUUCCGAUGCUGGCAAGUUACUAAGAGAUUUUAUUCAACAUCCACGAUGUCAGGAUACCGCCCCCCAUACACGAUAAAAGAGGAGAAGCUAAUUCUAAACUACAUCAUUAAGCAUCAAGGAUAUUACCAGUUACGGGGUCGUAAAUUUUGGGUGCAGAUGGAGGAAAGUUUGCCAGGCGAAAGAACUUGGCAGAGUAUGAAAGAACAUUUCAGAAAACAGAUGAUUCCGAAUAUUGCAAAUCCGCUGUACAAUUUGUCAUCGAAGGAGAUAAGUUUUAUAAGAGACGGCUACAAGGUUAGCGCGAACGACGGAAACGAUGCCAAGCAGACGAAAUAUCCGGCCAGAAACCUCGACGAGUAUAUGACGUCGGACGAAAGUGAUUGAUAGACUGUACCUCAAAAGUUUGAUUCGUUUUUUACAAAUUUUAUAUAGCAGAAAUGCUUAAAUUAGCUACUUGUAAAAUGAUUGUUUUUUCAUUUAUUUUUUAAUAAAAUUAUGUAGAUUAAAAGAGA